rnacentral:rRNA from 1 species
UAGGGAAUAUUGGACAAUGGGUGCAAGCCUGAUCCAGCCAUGCCGCGUGCAGGAAGAAGGCCUUCUGGGUUGUAAACUGCUUUUGCCAGGGGAUAAAAAGCCCAUGCGUGGGAAAUUGAAGGUACCUGGUGAAUAAGCCACGGCUAACUACGUG